rnacentral:tRNA from 1 species
UGGAAUAAUAUUCAAUUAUGAUUUAUAAUUUGCAAUUAUAAGGUACUAUCUUAGUUUAUUUUAG